GAUGAAGAACGCAGCGAAAUGCGAUUAGUAGUAUGAAUUGCAGAAUUCAGUGAAUCAUCGAAUCUUUGAACGCACAUUGCGCCCCUUGGUAUCCCGAGGGGCAUGCCUGUUCGAGCGUCAUUUCACCACUCAAGCCUGGCUUGGUGUUGGGCGACGUCCUCUUUGGGGACGCGCCUCGAAACGCUCGGCGGCGUGGCACCGGCUUUAAGCGUAGCAGAAUCUUUCGCUUUGGAAGUCGGGGCCCCGUCUGCCGGAAGACCUGCUCGCAAGGUUGACCUCGGAUCAGGCAGGGAUACCCGCUGAACUUAAGCAUAUCAAUAAGCGGAGGA
rnacentral:misc_RNA from 1 species